CGAUUUAGCCAUGCUAGUUGCACGAGUUCAUACUCGUGGCGAAAAGCUCAGUAACACGUGGCCAAACUACCCUACAGAGAACGAUAACCUCGGGAAACUGAGGCUAAUAGUUCAUACGGGAGUCAUGCUGGAAUGCCGACUCCCCGAAACGCUCAGGCGCUGUAGGAUGUGGCUGCGGCCGAUUAGGUAGACGGUGGGGUAACGGCCCACCGUGCCGAUAAUCGGUACGGGUUGUGAGAGCAAGAGCCCGGAGACGGAAUCUGAGACAAGAUUCCGGGCCCUACGGGGCGCAGCAGGCGCGAAACCUUUACACUGCACGCAAGUGCGAUAAGGGGACCCCAAGUGCGAGGGCAUAUAGUCCUCGCUUUUCACGACUGUAAGGCGGUCGUGGAAUAAGAGCUGGGCAAGACCGGUGCCAGCCGCCGCGGUAAUACCGGCAGCUCAAGUGAUGACCGAUAUUAUUGGGCCUAAAGCGUCCGUAGCCGGCCACGAAGGUUCAUCGGGAAAUCCGCCAGCUCAACUGGCGGGCGUCCGGUGAAAACCAUGUGGCUUGGGACCGGAAGGCUCGAGGGGUACGUCCGGGGUAGGAGUGAAAUCCCGUAAUCCUGGACGGACCACCGAUGGCGAAAGCACCUCGAGAAGACGGAUCCGACGGUGAGGGACGAAAGCUAGGGUCUCGAACCGGAUUAGAUACCCGGGUAGUCCUAGCUGUAAACGAUGCUCGCUAGGUGUGACACAGGCUACGAGCCUGUGUUGUGCCGUAGGGAAGCCGAGAAGCGAGCCGCCUGGGAAGUACGUCCGCAAGGAUGAAACUUAAAGGAAUUGGCGGGGGAGCACUACAACCGGAGGAGCCUGCGGUUUAAUUGGAUCCAACGCCGGGAA
rnacentral:rRNA from 1 species